CUCCUCAACGAUGAUAACACUGUCACACACGCCAGCUACAGGACAAUCCGGUGUCACACAAAAGUUGACAUGUGCCAUUACAGGUUGUGGGGUACCAUAGAAUAUUUAUUGCAUGUUCUUAGCUCAUCGAAUAUGCCCAAAAAAGGGUACUAAUGUGGUGCUGAAUUUGUUUGGCAGGCUUAUGAAAUACACAAAAUUCAUCUCAUGAACGCGUCCCUCACAACAAGGGCAAUAAUUUAACAUGCGAGGAUGAAUCCAAUUGGUUGCACACGAAUGAUGCAUAUCAGAGGCAACAAAUAACAGGAAGCUCAAAAAGAGCUAUUUUUGUGCCUCUUGGACAGAAAAUGCAACCAAUUGGGAGCAUCAUCAAAGAUAUUGCACAAGGUAUAUUUAAUUGGCUUUGCUAUAAUGUUUCCUGACAUUCUGAUUGUAAUCCUCUUCUGGAUGAAAAUUAAUUGUGCAUGCAGGGCGUGUCACCCAAAUUUCAGGGGUUGAGGUACCCCAACUGAGCAAUAUACGUGACCCAGAUUGCACAAUUGAAGGGAGGGUUCUGAGCAGCAGUACAACAUGCGGAGAUCUUCGUGGUCAUCCUAAUCAAUUAGAUGGAGGUCGCGAGCAGCAACUGCUCCUACUCGUGACCUAAUCGAACAGAGAAAUCAAGAUGGGGUCCGACAUCAGAGCAUCUGGAUCGAGGGGAGAAGAAGAGUUCAAACCGGACCUUCAUGGCGUCCCGAGCAGGGGGGGGGGGUGAAUAGCCUCAUGGCGGCGACGAAGAGUGCAUCAGGACGAGGGAGGGCCCCGGCGUCGCCGGCGAGCAUGCCGAGCUCGAGCGCUCCGUCGUCUCCAGGAGGAG
rnacentral:lncRNA from 1 species